GACGAACGCUGGCGGCGUGCUUAACACAUGCAAGUCGAACGGAAAGGCCCUGCUUUUGUGGGGUGCUCGAGUGGCGAACGGGUGAGUAACACGUGAGUAACCUGCCCUUGACUUUGGGAUAACUUCAGGAAACUGGGGCUAAUACCGGAUAGGAGCCCCUGCUGCAUGGUGGGGGUUGGAAAGUUUCGGCGGUUGGGGAUGGACUCGCGGCUUAUCAGCUUGUUGGUGGGGUAGUGGCUUACCAAGGCUUUGACGGGUAGCCGGCCUGGGAGGGUGACCGGCCACAUUGGGACUGGAAUACGGCCCAGACUCCUACGGGAGGCAGCAGUGGGGAAUAUUGCACAAUGGGCGGAAGCCUGAUGAAGCAACGCCGCGUGCGGGAUGACGGCCUUCGGGUUGUAAACCGUUUUCGCCUGUGACGAAGCGUGAGUGACGGUAAUGGGUAAAGAAGCACCGGCUAACUACGUG
rnacentral:rRNA from 1 species